AUUUACACGGGCCAAAAUCUCAAGAAUAUCAUUAGCCUCGCUUAGACGACCUUUCGCUAAUAACCAUCGCGGCGAUUCCGUGUAUGUACAAUGCUCCAGAUAGCAGACAAUAUUUAUAAAAUAUUUACGAAAGAUUUUUGUAAAUAUUUCUCACCACCAAUAAAAGAAGUAUAUCAAAAAAG